rnacentral:misc_RNA from 1 species
UACGUAGGUGGCAAGCGUUGUCCGGAAUUAUUGGGCGUAAAGCGUGCGCAGGCGGUCCUUUAAGUCCGAUGUGAAAGCCCACGGCUUAACCGUGGAGAGUCAUUGGAAACUGGGGGACUUGAGUACAGAAGAGGAAAGCGGAAUUCCACGUGUAGCGGUGAAAUGCGUAGAGAUGUGGAGGAACACCAGUGGCGAAGGCGGCUUUCUGGUCUGUAACUGACGCUGAGGCGCGAAAACGUGGGGAGCAAACAGG